AAUGAACGCUGGCGGCGCGCCUAAUACAUGCAAGUCGAGCGAGAAGACGUAGCAAUACGUUUGUAAAGCGGCGAACGGGUGAGGAAUACAUGGGUAACCUACCCUCGAGUGGGGAAUAACUAGCCGAAAGGUUAGCUAAUACCGCGUACGCUCCUUGGACUUCGGUUCAGGGAGGAAAGCGAUACCGUGGGUAUCGCGCUCUUGGUUGGGCUCAUGUCCUAUCAGCUUGUUGGUGAGGAACGGCUCACCAAGGCUUCGACGGGUAGCUGGUCUGAGAGGACGAUCAGCCACACUGGCACUGCGACACGGGCCAGACUCCUACGGGAGCAGCAGUAAGGAAUAUUGCGCAAUGGGCGAAAGCCUGACGCAGCGACGCCGCGUGGGGGAGU
rnacentral:rRNA from 1 species